rnacentral:rRNA from 1 species
ACCGGCGCACGGGUGCGUAACGCGUAUGCAAUCUACCUUGUACAGGGGGAUAGCCCAGAGAAAUUUGGAUUAAUACCCCAUAGUAUCUUUUGAAGGCAUCUUCAAAUUAUUAAAGUUCCAACGGUACAAGAUGAGCAUGCGUCCCAUUAGUUAGUUGGUGUGGUAACGGCACACCAAGACGAUGAUGGGUAGGGGUCCUGAGAGGGAGAUCCCCCACACUGGUACUGAGACACGGACCAGACUCCUACGGGAGGCAGCAGUGAGGAAUAUUGGGCAAUGGAGGCAACUCUGACCCAGCCAUGCCGCGUGCAGGAAGACGGCCCUAUGGGUUGUAAACUGCUUUUGUACGGGAAGAAACACUCCUACGUGUAGGAGCUUGACGGUACCGUAAGAAUAAGGAUCAGCUAACUCCGUGCCAGCAGCCGCGGUAAUACGGAGGAUCCAAGCGUUAUCCGGAAUCAUUGGGUUUAAAGGGUCCGUAGGCGGCCUUAUAAGUCAGUGGUGAAAUCUCCCAGCUCAACUGGGAAACUGCCAUUGAUACUGUAGGUCUUGAAUUUUUGUGAAGUAACUAGAAUAUGUAGUGUAGCGGUGAAAUGCUUAUAUAUUACAUGGAAUACCAAUUGCGAAGGCAGGUUACUAACAAACGAUUGACGCUGAUG